rnacentral:rRNA from 1 species
UACAGAGGGUGCGAGCGUUGUCCGGAAUCACUGGGCGUAAAGGGCGCGUCGGUGGCGGGAUAAGCGUGUGGUGAAAGCCCGGGGCUCAACCCCGUGUCUGCCAUGCGGACUGUCUUGCUCGAGCGUAGUAGAGGCAGGUGGAAUUCCGGGUGUAGCGGUGGAAUGCGUAGAGAUCCGGAAGAACACCGGUGGCGAAGGCGGUCUGCUGGGCCAAGACUGACGCUGAGGCGCGACAGCGUGGGGAGCAAACAGG